rnacentral:rRNA from 1 species
GGGGGGGGGGGGGGGGGGGCGGGGGGGGUGCGGGGCGGGGGGGGGGGCCCGGGGGGGGGGGGGUGCUCGGGGGGCGAACGGGUGAGUAACACGUGAGUAACCUGCCCUGGACUUUGGGAUAACUUCAGGAAACUGGGGCUAAUACCGGAUAGGAGCUCCUGCUGCAUGGUGGGGGUUGGAAAGUUUCGGCGGUUGGGGAUGGACUCGCGGCUUAUCAGCUUGUUGGUGGGGUAGUGGCUUACCAAGGCUUUGACGGGUAGCCGGCCUGAGAGGGUGACCGGCCACAUUGGGACUGAGAUACGGCCCAGACUCCUACGGGAGGCAGCAGUGGGGAAUAUUGCACAAUGGGCGGAAGCCUGAUGCAGCAACGCCGCGUGCGGGAUGACGGCCUUCGGGUUGUAAACCGCUUUCGCCUGUGACGAAGCGUGAGUGACGGUAAUGGGUAAAGAAGCACCGGCUAACUACGUG